rnacentral:lncRNA from 1 species
UACUUCUCACUUGUAUCAAACUAUAUAACCCUAAAGCCUUAUCUUUUUUUUCCAACCUCAUCCAGAUUGCAACCUUCUCCAACCCGGAUUCCCGUCACUCCGUCGACUCAUACUGCUCCGGCCGCCACCUCGACGUUCGCUCUCACUCAUUCACAGGUUCUCCCCCGCUCUCUCGUUUUGUCUCGUUCUCUCUCUCUCUCUUUCUCUCGUGUGCUCUCUCUAAAGUAAGUAAAAAGAAAUGAUUUAUUAGUUGAUUUGCUUACUUUAUUAGAAAUGAUUUGCUUAAAAAAGGUUCAACUGUUCAGGUUUGUUCACUUUUGGAAAGGGGAAAUUGUUAAUUAUUUUCUUCCAAAUUUGUUAAUUACUCUUCAUUUCUUCUUCUUCUUCUUCUUCGUUACAGGUUCACUUUGAUUUUUGUAUCGCGGAAUUACAGCCAUUUCAAGUCGGGAAUCUAAACUCCUUGCUGGAAAUCGUGCUAUUGCUCAGGUUCCAAUUAAUUACUUUACUAUGCGAAGCAAACAGUUGUCAUGGAUAAAAGAUAAAAUGCUAGUUAAUGAAGAUGUAUUUCUGAAAAUAAUGAAAAUAGUUUUCGACACAACUUUUAGAAAAUGAAAAUAAGAAAUAUUUUCAAGCAAAUGAACCCUUAUGUGUUUGAUUUGUGUGUGUGUGAUCAAUGGAAGUUGCAACUAUAGGCUAACUAAUAUUAGCUUAUCAUAUAAUAGAUUAGUUAAAUAAUGUUGAGUUCUGUGUCCAAAGUCAUAUUUCUUAUAUACUUUAGUGAU